GGAGGAUGCAAGCAACUACGGCCAGUCAACUCAGUCCCAAGGGAGGUCAUGGAGCAAAUCCACCUGGAAGAUAUUUUGAAGCACAUGGAAGACAAGAAGGAAAAACUACCAGACAAAAUCACUGCUGAGCUGGACCACAGAGAAGAAAGUCUUUAGGGAAGCAAGAGCACAAGCAGAAUUGGAGCUAUCUGGGAACCUUUUCAUUCAGUUCACAAGAGGGAGAACUGGUUGCAUAACUGCGCUGACCUAAAAAUGCUUUUCAGAUUCUUCAAUUAAAGCACAGGAAGAAAUCAGCACUGUUAGAAAGAUUAUUCAGAUAGAGAAUUAAAUUUCAAUCACAGCAGGACAAAUGACUGGUUCGAAAAUGGAUUUGCUAACUAGGACAAAUGAUAGGAAGAGAAUUGUGAAA